UCGGCUUCUCGGCCUUUUGGCUAAGAUCAAAGUGUAGUAUCUGUUCUUAUCAGCUUAAUAUCUGAUACGUUCCCCAUGUGGGGAUCUUCGUUAUUAAAGAUUUUUGGAUCAUGGCGAAGUGCUAGGGCUUGCUCCACCUUUGCGCGGAUCGGCGUAUUGCAGUACCUUCUCCGGGCAUUGGUCCACUCCCU